GAUAAACGCUGACAGAAUGCUUAACACAUGCAAGUCGAUGAUGGGAAGCUAAGCCUAGCUUAGAAGAAGUCAUGGCGGACGGGUGAGUAACGUGUAAGGAACUUGCCCUCUAGACUGGGAUAACAGAUAGAAAUGUCUGAUAAUACCGGAUAUUAUUGUUACAUGGCAUCAUGUAGGAAUGAAAGGAUAAGAUUGCUAGAGGAGAGCUUUGCAUCCUAUUAGCUAGUUGGUAAGGUAGUGGCUCACCAAGGCGAUGAUAGGUAGCCGGCCUGAGAGGGUGGACGGCCACAAGGGGACUGAGGUACGGCCCUU
rnacentral:rRNA from 1 species